GCGCGGCGGUCCGAGCUCCCCGCCCUGCUGGGCCGGCGUCGUGUUCUCUCUCGUACCGCCAAAGCUCGGCAGUGUCACUCGCGCCCUUGGCCAGCGAGCCCGCUGGAAUUUAGUGACUGGGAUCGACGUCGCCGUUCGCAGUAAAGGGGGGCGCACAGACUCGGGGAAGGUCCCGUUCUCUGGUGAGGAGGUGGCCGCCCGCGCUCUGGAAGCAGGGGGAACCGGCUCCUCCUGGGGAGGAGAGUGCCUGGGGUAAGAAGCUCGGAGAUCAUCCUGACGUCACUGCAACCAUGAUUUCACCAGGCUCGUGCACUGUGAGGUUAUUGCGAUCUGAAAUCUCUGCUGCUGGAAAGAGGAAUUUAUUCACAAGACUCUAAUCUAGGAUGACCCUUCACUCGUACAAACCUGCUGAUGAGUGAUGGCAGUGUCCCCUGAGUCGAGCUCACAACAUGCUCAGGAGCUGCCUUCCUCUGGAGCAUCCUGCAUCACAGCCCCAGGGCCCUGAGUACAAGGUGUAUCUGUGAACCAACAGUGAAGCACACACCAAGGAUCUGCAGGACGCUCCUUCCCUCACUGUGCACAGACCAUGCCGGGGGUGGCACAUGCAGAUGGGCAGUGCUGGAGGGCACAAGCGACUGCAGCGGCUCCUUGCUGCUCCCACACAGACUGUGGAUGCCAUGGGGUUACAGCUGGCCACGUCAGCAGCAGGAACGGAGCUCCGGCGUGUCCCUCUCCAUGGUGCAGGCUGGGUACAGGUGGUCAUUGCUGUGAAGCCAGACUUGUUCACUGCGUAAAGGUGCUUGGCUGGGAGUCCUGGGAACAUCAGGGAACAUGAAGCAAAAGAAGCCUUUCAGCUCAAUAGAUGCUAUAAAUUUCCAAUGUGUUUUUGUUUUAUGCUCCAGGUGAAGGCAGCAGAAGCCAUCAAUCCUCUUCCUGGCUGACCCUGAGCUGCUGGUGCACAGGCAGGCUGGGCAGCAUCUGUCUGGGACACCUCUGAAGGGGUGAAGGUCAGGGAGUGUCUUGGGCUGUUUUGGUUUGUCUUUAAAAAACAAUUUUCCAUGAGCAGAAAAUGUAAGCCACCCAGGGAUAGUUGCAUCUUCCUGGUGUGAUACAUGAGAUACCUCACUGUCAGCCUGUGGAGUGCUCCAACACAGGAGCCAGUGCAAUGUCAGUGUGGGCCCCCCCCGGCGCAGCCAUCCUCUCCCCCCCACCACGCGAUUCAUGGGCUUUUACAUCUCUGCCAUGAGCCUGUUAAUCCAGCACCUGGCUCCAGCCACACCACGGGGACGAUUUAUGGUUCUUACAGAUCAAUUUCAUUAUCCCAAGGGGAAAAUCAGCAUCUUGUUAUGGACAAAAUGACAAUAAAUGAAACGACCAUUAAUUUACGAUCUUGCCACACAGUGGCACUCAAACAGAUUCCCAUUAAUGGUUUGUUAUUAUCACCUCCCAUACUAGGCUAAUAACAGUUCCUGGGAAAAGCAGCACUGAGCCCUGGGAAGGGGCUGCUGCUGGCUGUGUGGGACCCAGGCCUGUCCUGCAGUGGCAGAGCAGCCCCCAACUCCACUGCCCUGUCCCACCGAGUCAGGGGGGAUGCAGCAGUCGUCCUUGGCUCUGGGGCCUGGGCACCCACUGGCAUUCUGGAGGGAGAUACUGCUGUUGUUCUCCGUGGGAUUUGGGAUUCAGAGCCUUUUGCAAAGGCACAGAGAAAAGCAAGGUUGGGCUGGUCACAUCCUCUGGGGACAAGGGACCAGGGUUACAUCUGUACAGGGAUGUACUGGGCAUCAGGGACCCUUCUCCCAUACUCCUCUCCAUCCCCUUGCACUGAGGACAGUACCAGGGACAUCAUCUGCUGACAAGUAGCUCCUUUAGGCAGCAGUUUGAUUUUUGAUGCCCAUUGGUCCCACUCAUGGAAAAUGAAUUUGUGGAUUUUUGCAGACCAAGGUCGGUGGGAUCCCUGCCCGGCUGAAGGCCACAGGGUCCCCGCCGUUCCCCGGGGCCAUGCCCUCUGCUGGCCAGCAGGAGGGAGCCGUGGUGCAGUCGUGCCAGUGGAGACUGAAAGACGGGAUGGAUGGAGGCUGCCAGGCAGAGAGGGGAGGAGCUGCCAGCUGACAGAGAGCUGCCCAGAGUGGAGCAAAAAGAGACACAGAGAUGGCCCCAGACCACAGGGAUAAGCCUGAGUUCUUGCUGCUGUGCCUGCUCUCCAGCUUGGGAGCUGCAGCUCUCCAGAACCUGUGAAGCCCCUCUCAGCAGGACCCUCCUCUGUUGUGAACUCUGGCAGAUUGUGAGAACUGGAAAGUGGUCAAAUCACAGCCUCUUAGCACAGUCACUAAUGAAGUGUCUGCGCAGCCUGGUCUCAUGCCAGGCAGGGCCGUGCUGGUGCCAGUGCUUGGGACUAAGAAGUGGCACAGUUGCCUGAAGGGUUGCAGUGGGCUUUUAAGAAAAAAAAAUUCUGAGCAGUAAACCUUUGCUAGGCAGUAAAUGUCUACCGGACAAACAGGUCAGCCCACAGGGCAGCCACAACUAUCAGUGCUUGGGCAAAGCAUGGUAAAUCAUUCGCCCCGCUCCAAGGAGAUCAUCUGCUGUGAGCAGCUCCUGUCACUGGCCAGUCGCUCCAGCCUCUGAAACCAUGGGAUGGGGAGGAGCAGCCAGCCACAGUGUUGAGAAAUUAGAUUAAAUUAGCAGGAAUUAACUGUGAUGAGACACUUCUCCCAGGUGAAUUGGGAACACUGAAGAAAUGGAGCACUUUUCCAUCCUCCACCACAGCACUGGACAGGGAGAGGUUUCCGAUGCAGGCACAGCAUCCAGUCCUGGCUUCACAUGUCAUGUGAAUGUUAUGAUUCCCUGGCAAAAGCUGAAUUUGUCAGAAGAUUUGCUCUCAGCUUAUUCUUCUCAGACAAAAUCCUUCAAGAGGUGAUGCCACCCCCGUGACUUGCUUAUCCUUCACUCCUUUCAUUAAUUGCAACUUCUCCUGCAGUAGCUUUCUUAGAUCCAGGCAAAACCCAGCCAUUUUCUUCCCCUCAUUGAACUAGGGCUGAAUCCCAGCUGAGAACAGCUGGCUGCUGCACAGGGUCCCUGGGGAGGGGGACAGAUGUCAGUCCCUAGGGUGGGAACACUGGAGCACCUGCUGACCAAGCUGGCACUGUGGCUGGGGGAGUGCGGCUCAGCCAGCACCUGGCAGGGCGAUGCCACUGCCUGGCAGUGCUGCCAGCUGCACUUAGGGCUUCCCAAACCCUUCUCUCUCCCUCUGCCACUGCCACAUUUGAUUUUGCUAGCAAGGGCUGCAGGCCUGGUGGCUCUGCCGUACCUGGUGGCUCUGCUUUACCUGUGGCUCUGCUGGACCUGCCGCUCAGGUGCCUGGCUGCAGCACCAGCCCUUGCUGCACACUGGCCCUGCAGCCUCUCCAAACAAGCUUUGAAGGAUGCUUACACUAUUAACAGGGUAUAUUUAUAACUGUUUAUCUCUGUCAGUUGGGUGGAAAAUUGCCAGAUGUGCCGUUUGCCUUCAUUACACAGACAUUUCCUGCAUCAUCUGGAUCAGUUCACUAAGCAGCGUCACUGCCAGGGAAACGUCAUUGCUCGUGCACAGUGUGGAUAUUUGUGGGAUCUGCCUUGGUGAGUACAGGCAGCAACACCCUGGAGGCAAGUUUCCCCACUGUGCAGCUCUCUGGAUUUAGCCUUGUGGGAGGUAAAGAGUGCAGCGGAGCCGGGAGCUCCUCACUAGGGUCAGAGCAGCCAGGGCUGCCAGGGCCGGGCAGUGCAGUCAUGGAGAACAGUUCGCUGCCCCUGGGCUGGCUCACACUGCUGGAGCUGACACCCCCCCCACCGCUUUGGAGGCAGUAGGAAACCCACUGGAGAGGGCUGUUCCCCUGCUGUGAGGGGUGCUCAGGAGCUGCCAGAGGGUCCCUGCUGGGCAGAGGGUCCUGGGUAGCACAGAUGCCCCACAAGCAGGAGAGGUGACUCAGAGACAGCAAAUAUCCUUUCUUCUGACAGAGAAGGAGGCAAGAAGAUAAGAAUGGCUUAAACAGAAAGAAAUUGCCUCCAAAUAAAAUGUUUUUCCUCGUUUCCCAUGAUAUAGUGAAAUUUCUUCAUGGGCAGAUAGUCAGAGUAGAGUCCAUUACACUCCAUGGUUUUUGCCUUGAAAUAUAAAUAGCUGCAUCUCAUAUAAGUGUUUGUUAUGAGGAAAUGCGUGUGCCAGGAAAAGUUAGACAUUAAACCAUUAUUUCAUGCAGAAAGAUAUUGCUAAAGGGAGAGGAUUACUUACUAUAUUAAUUCUGUCCUUCAGCUACCAGUUUGUCUCUGCACAUAAUGACUUUAGUCACAAAUGUGGUGGUGUAAUAAUCCCAGUUACCUCAAUUCCAAUUUUGUUGGAGACUGCGCACACAGUGACCCUCCCUCUGGGCCCUGUGGGGACAAUGGGGCAGCAGGAGUGAGAGCAGAAAUUCCUGUUAACAUGUAGGUAAAUCUGGCAGCCUCUCUCCUUCCACAGGGUGCAUAUGGGCAAGUGCUGAUAUUUCGUAUCAGACCUUGCGUUACAACUAAAAAUUUCAAAACAUCCCUGUUAGUGGUAUAAAGUAGUAGUGAUGUGACCCUCAAACUAUUUCUUCUCAUUUCCAGUCUUGUACCUGGAGUCAGAAGAGCAUCUUAAAAGGGAUCAAGAAUUUUCUAAUCAGAUUUAUUUCCCAGCAAAUGACUCAUAGAGGGAAAGUUUCUGAGGUCAGCAAAACCAAAAAACCCCAAGCACGGUGUCCCAGGAAAGCUGGGAGGUGACAGCAUCAGUUUGUUUAUUUGUUUCUGCCUGGACUGAGUAGGAUGUCACAGGCUGUUGGCACAGGGCACUGCAGGGCCCAAGGUCACGGGCACCAGUGCACAGGGAGGCAGCGGCCGAGGGCAGGGUUAUUCCUGCUGACAAAGCUGGAACGGGUCACUGUGGUGUUGCAACCUGCCCAGCUGACUGAUCCCCACACUGCUGCCCUCCUGGUCCCAGGGUAUGAGAGGUGAUGGCAGAGCUCUUGGCUGACACUCUGGGUCCUGUGUUUGCUGACGCAGGUGCAGAAUGCAGAGCUGCUGCACAGAGGAACGGGAACAGCAGUGAGCAGCAGGGUCUGAUACCACCAUGUGAUCAGAGCCCAUCUGGGGCACAGCAAACCCAAAAUGAUAGCAUUUGGGUUCUCGGAGGAGUAAGAGUGGUCAGUAGAACUGCCUCCUUGGACAGCCAGAGGGCAGACUGACCUGCUGAGGAGCCUGGCUGGCAGGGUUCCUUGGGAGGCAGUCCUGAAGAGCUCAGGAUGCCUCCAGGGAUCUACAGGCCUGUCAGUCCGACCUUGGUGUCAGGGAAGCUUAUGGAGCAGAUCGUCUUGAGUGUCAACACACAGCAUGUACAAGACAACCAGGGAAUCAGGCCCAGUUUAGACUGGAUAUUAGGAAAUAAUUUCUCCAUGGAAAGGGUUGUCCAGCCUGGUACAGGUUGCUCAGUGCAGUGAUGAAGUCACCAUCCCUGGAGGGACUUAGAAGCCAUGUAGAUGUGGCAGCUGGGGACACGUGGCGGCCUUGGCAGUGCCAGGGGAGUAGUUGGACUCAACGGUCUUAGAGGACUAUUCCAACCUAAACAAUUCAAAGAUUCUAUGAUGCCAUGUAGUAAGUCAUCCUUAUUCAAAGGGCUCUGUUUGAAACCUGGCAUUGGCAUAUACAGAACAUGUUGCAUCUUUGCUGGUACCUCUUCAAUCUGGCUUGCAAGACAUCCUGGAGGACGUGACCUUGGAGGCAGGCAGAAUAUCGAACCUGCAUAAUCUGAGCAUCUCCACAUUGGUGGCAGCCUGUUGGGUACAGGGCAGUUAAUAAAUAAUGAGGAUGUCAAAGAUGACAGCAGGAAAAGUGGGAGCAGGUAGCAGCUUUGCAGCCAGCUCUCUGACAGCCGCUUGGCAACCUCCAAUUAGGAGGUGUGUGCUGGUGUUCAUCGCAGUGCAGAGCACCCGGCGCCUGCUCCCGGGAGCCAAGAUGCAGCACUGGGGCAGCCUGCGGCACUGCACUGGCUGGACACGCUCCCGAGGGCAUGGGGAACUGGUGAACACUUUGAAGAGCAAAUCCCAGGAGGCAGCGGGAGGCUCCCAGCUACAGCAUUGCAGAGAUACAGGGCAGCGGCUGCCACGAGAGCUGCGCUCGCUGCCCUCUGACAGGGUGGGCCAAGGGGGGUAGAAUCCUGCUCGGAGCAGAGACUGAGGCGUUGCAAGAGACAGCUGGAUCAGCUGAAUAUGGAACUCGUUUCUCGGGGCUUGGGGGAGAGGAGUACACUGGCCUCAGUGCCACGUUAAGGCGCGGAUGCUGCCGGGGCACCUCCUCAGGACACUAGUCCCUGCUCACAGGUGUAUCCUUCAAGGGCCGAAUUAUACCACACCACAACUCAAAGAUUAGGACCCUGAGGUGUAAUUGAUCUUCCGAUGGCUUUUUAAACAUCUGGUGAGAAGGGGCUGCUUUCCAAACAGCAAAGUCUACACCAAAACGAUCUUGAUUUGAAUAAGUAUUCCAUCCCUGUUUGGUAAAUAUACCCAGUGUUAAUGGUGCUUAAUGGUGCCUGUAAUUGGUGUCUAAAGUUAUUUAAAAGUAAAUUUACCAGAAAAUAAUUAGCAAUUUUAUAGUUCACUACUUCCUAAUCUUGUUGAUAAAAGUUUUUCCGUGGUUUUUAUCAGAUGACACAAUAGGGCUCUGCUGCGAAAUAACCUUUUUCAAAUGAGCAGGAAAUUGUGCACACAAAAUAAGAUUAAAAAAAUUUCCUCCUAAUUUCUUUGCCUGGCAGCCAGCCCUCUCUCUCCUUUUAUUAUCCACUGACUUAUCCUUAAUCAGCAACUGAAACUUCCCAGGCAUUGCUUGGGGAUUUGUUCUUUGUGACCUUGGGAGGUGCACCCCAAGCUGCAAAGUCAGUGAGGAAAGCUGUCCCCCACUGCAGGGACAAACCUCACUGCAGGACACACGGGCUGGCCAAGGUGGUCCUGGUCCUCCUCCUGGUCCUGGCUGCAGUAUGGCCCUUUUGGCAGUGGUGGAGCUGUGGCCCAUGGGGCAGGAAGGGGCAGCCAGCUGGGCUGGCAGGUGGCAGAUCAUGGCCAGGGCUGUCCUGUCGCGGCUCCCACUCAUGGGGUGUUGGUGCUGCUGAGGGGGUCCAAGAGAAACGGAGUCGAGAAAUGCAGCUGCUACAACGAUUUAUUGUCUAGUGCUGUGGGUUCCAGGGUUCAGUUCCAGACGGUCAUGUCGUUCAGGUACAGAGACACCGACCGACAGAGACGCAUUUGGGAGGAGGCGACAGCACAGCAGGUUGGGUUCAGAACAGAUCAACUCUCCAUUUUCAGUCUCUGAACCAGAAAGUACCAGCUUUUCCAGAACAAUCAAUCGCCCAGUCUGUAUAUAAAAUUAAAUAUAAUUUAUGCUUUGCUAAUUGAAACCAAAUACAAAAUUCAAUUUCCUGUGUAUUCUAAUGCUGACAUUUGAAUAGUUUAAAAAAAAAGGUGUUACUAACCUGACUCUCGUUUGGCACACCACUCUCCAGCCAUAUAGAAAAUAAUUCUCCCUCCAGCCCUGGUGACAGUGCAGCAGCCAUGGCGUGCAUUUCAGAAGAACAAAACAGAAUAACCUCCCCCAGUCCCUGUGCCCCCAGCCCACCCCAGAGUGCCUGGUGUGUACCUCAGGAAAGGGUUGGGGGCAGGGGAGUCCUAUCCCACCAUGCUGAAGUGGUUGGUGUCCAUGGGGCAGCCGCUCAGGGCAGGGGAGCGGGGUCUCCUCUCCCACUGGGCACACAUCAGCUCCUGCCAAGCUGGAGAUGACAUCUGGUAUAAAAAAUAAACCUCUGAAUAUAUGGCAGAAAUAAUAGGAGUGGAUGUGGGGUGGCAGGCGGGAGAGGCGCAGUGGGCACAGCGUCUCCCCGGCCCACCCAAGAACCAUCGUCCCCUGGGGCUGAGCCCCUCUGAUGGGCAGCCAGGGCCACCAGUCCACCACCUCCACUGUCCGCCAGGGCCAGCCCAACACUGUGCCAGGACUGCAGCAUGCUGGACACAGGCAGAGAUUCCUGGAUAUCCCUCUGGUGACAGGAACAUUGGGCCUGGAGCUCCUCAUCUUCCAAUAAGUAUCUUGCACCAAAUCCAAAUUAUGCAACAACAGGUUUAGUUCAGGACCUGUUCUGACAUUUUAAUAAUAUGUGAAGCACUGUAAAAUUAUUCCUAUUACAUACUUCUAAUUUUCCUGUAAUAAUUUGGAAGUUUGUGGUUUUCUGAAAACUGUGCUAUGUCAGGAGCUGAUUUUAAAUCUGACCAGGCUGAUGGGAACUGACGUGACAUCAGCAGGGACCUUGUGGUGCCCCUCCAGCAUGGCCCGUGCAGUAAAUUGUCUGAAUGGCUUCAGCUUUUAUCAUCCAAUACAAGGCACCACUUCACGGUGUAAUGAACCACACGACAGGCCCUGGAACCCCAAGUAGGUUCAGCUUGUCACCCAGUGCAACGCUGAUUUCAUCUGGUUAGCUGGAGCCGUAGGGAGUUCUACAUUAAUCAGAGCUGAGUCCUGGUUCUCCUGCAGCAAUCCCGCUCUCCAUGCUGCCAGGGACCUGCUGUCCAACAGCACGGAGCUUGCAUGUCAUUACAUCCCACCCUGGAGGCAUCUGUAGCCCUCAUCAGAGCAAAGGGAGCAGCCGGCAGUAUCCAAGCGGGUGAGGGACCGUUUCAGCAGCUCUGUGUUUCUUCCCCAUUGUUCUCCCUCUGCCUGUUCUCUCUCUCAUUUUCCUCAGCGAUGGAGGUGGAACCCUGCAGCUGUGUUGAAGCACUGCUCCUGCUCUCUGCUGGGCCCAGCAAGCAGCUCCCAUGGCGUUGGGAGGAUCCAGCUGGGAUAUAGGUUUAGUCGACAAUUUCUACCAGGAUUUGCAAAUUUAGUUGACUUGGCCGUUUCCACUAGAAAGCACAGGUUUUGUGUGCUGAGCAGUGCUUGCCCUGGGAAUUAAUUGCUGUUUUGUAAUUCUGAAGUAUGAUGAAGGCUGCUUCCCUGUUCUGCAACCCCAGCUGUCCACAGCAAGCAGCAGGGAUUGCAUUUUCAAGGUGCAAAUGAACAGCAGUGCCAGGGGUCCCAAUGGUCAGACCCUGUGCUGGGGCUGUCCUCAGACCUCUGCCCUGCAGCCACCCCCGGGAACGCCCGGCUCUGAACCGUGAGCAGGGCACGGCAUGGCCUCACCAGGAGGUGCUGCACAGACAAGGUGUGGCUUCACGCUGUGCCUUGGCCGGGCACUGGGAGCCUGGCUUGCUCCUGGAAACCCGGGGAAUGUUCUUUCAGCUUCUAGGAGGGUGAGAGUCUGGGGGGAUCCCAGUUCUGACCUCACUGAGCAUCCCAGCAAAGCAGGAACAACUCUCUUCCAACAGUGGAGAUGUACCAGUCGGAGGAGAACUGGGCCCAGGUGUUUGUGGCACUUGGUAAAUUCUAGUUUUAGUGCAACAAGUAAUUGAAACAUGUGGUGCAAAUGAAGUUCCUGUACAUAGUUCCAUUGCAGCAUAACUGGCUUCAUUCCUUCCACACACUAAGAGCAGUGUGCAUAUGAGUGCACACGGUGUGAAUUUACCAGACUUGAUGCCGUUGUUUGGGAAAAACUAAAAUCCAGGGCAGGAGAAAUCAAAUAUAUGGGUUUGUCCCAGUGCUGGGUUUUGGGAGCUGCCCUCCCACCCAGUUCACUGUGGCAGGAAGCCUGGUCCUGCCUGCCUGGCGGCAAGGGGGACACCAGCAGUGAAAUGUCAACACAAAGUACCCCAUCACCCCAAGGAGCCCUGCUCCCUCUGCCUCCUCCUCCUCCCACCCACCCUUGACCCCCACUGUCGUGGUGGGGAGAGCCCGAGAGCAGCCCGAGGUGACAAGCCACUGCAGUUUCAGGAGUGGACACGCUGAGCAACUUUGGCUGCAGCCCAGACAGCACAAGAACCUGGAAUGCACAGGGUUGAGCCUCUGGCCCCGAGUGAGUUUUGAGUCUCAAAUGAUGACUCCCAUCUCAAAAAAAAAAAAAAAAAGGUUUUUUCCUGACCUUGUGUUUCUACUUAUCACUUUCUUCCUGCUCCCACUGGAAAUCUUGGCCCGUCAUUUGGUAAAACAUGACAUUGAAGGGUUUGUAAAAUUUCCGCAGUCUGUGGAUGACAUCUGGGUCUAUUUUGGGGUGAGUUCUACCCUUGGACUUGCCCAAGCACCGGGGAGCACUGCUGUCCUCUGGCUUCUUUAGACAGGGAAACCCCUUGGUUUUAUUAAAAUAAAAAUGCUUCUCUGUCACAAUCCUUUUGAGGCCUAGGAAGUCCUGGACUUUGGCCAUUUCCCCUGCUGGGUCAGUGAUGAGCCUCUCACCACUGACAAAAAGGAUCUGGGAGAGGGGGAAGUACUGGAGCCAGUUCUCCAAGUGCAGGGCAUAAAUCCCGAUGCGGAUUGCACUCCAAGAGGCGUCAAUCAGCCCCAGAGUCCGGUUCUUGAAGGCCAGCACCUCGAAGGUGGGGAUCUCCGGCUUCUUGGAGAGGGUCUGCGUGUAGUCCGAGAUGGCCCUGGUGACCGGGUUCCGCACCACCACGAUCAGCUUCGUGUCCUUGGCCAUGGAGUGAAUGCGCCUGGGGGCCUCAUUGGUCACGAAGUAGCUGGGGGUCUUCUCCAUGGUGAUCUGGCCAUCCAGCGUCUUGGGCAUCACAUUCCUGUGCAGAAACAGAGGAGGGGGUUAGUGAGGGGCCAGGCAGGGGUGGGCAUCCCAGCGUCCCUCCUGCCCUGUGCAAGUGUUGGCAGGAUGUUCAGGAGGAGGGAUGCUGUCACUCCCAUAGGUCCCACAGACCCAAACACUUCUGGCUUUGUUUCUUCUCAGCCCCUGGCCAUGGUGGGCACCUGAAAUGUUAAGUCAGCCUUGGUGACACAUUAUACAGGCAAUUUGCCAUAGGCAUACGUAGACCAAAGCUAAUUGACACUAAACCUGCACAAUACCUGCCUGUUCAGAAGCCAUCUGCUCCCAUUUGCUCAAUUAAGCCUAUUCAUUCCAGAGCUGCUGUACAGAGCAGCGCAGUUCGGAUUACACAGGACCUUUUUGUUAUGAUGACAUGCUUUUAAAUGUCUCAGCUAAUAAAACUUAAUACAGAAUAAGAUCCCUUGCUUCUAGUACAAUAAUUAAAUUUAUUUACUAUCUUG